rnacentral:lncRNA from 1 species
GAGAAUGAGACGGGGCGGAACUCUAAGGAGGCAUAGAAGAGUGGUGGGAUAGUAGAAUUACGGGGCGCUGUCGAGGUCAAGGUUGGUAACUUAGUUCUCCGAAGGUUGCCUGAUGCGAACGUGAGGAACGGGUUCAAGAAGGCAAACUUUGAUUGGACUAAUACCGAAAGGUUGAAGGUUUAAAAAAUCGAAAAGCUAAAGAACAUGGCUGUUGAGGAAGGUAGAGGUAGAGUAGACUGGUGGGGGAAUUUCCAGAACCGGUUUAAGGUGUUGGACAUGAAAAACAGCUAAAAUAGAGAGCAAUCAAGGCUUUUCCCAUUUGGAAAAUAUAGAAAGCCCUCUAUUGUAAGUAUUAUAACUUUCACAGUGGAAUGAAAUCGCCCCGUUUUUAAAGGGAUGGGGUUACGAACUUGAACCAAAUUGACUGUGAAGUGCAUUAUCAGCUGCUCAACCUGUUUUCCCAAGUGGAUAUAAUGUGCUUCUGACCUCCGAUUCGUGUUCAGAUUGUGGUCUGCUUAGAUGUACAUAUGGUUCUGCUCUGGUUGGCCCAUAGCCAAAGGAACAAAGGUGCAAAACAAGUCUGGAUUCAUCAGUGUUCAAGCCCGUACAAUGAUCUGCUACCAACCUUAGUGCUUGAGAUGUCUUUGCCCCCUUUUUAUUCAGCCUUUGCCCAUUUGCUUUCUCCCUGCCCACUUCAUUAUUAGCAAGUAAAUUCUCUUUCAAAUUGUGCACCUCCUGGGUUAAUUUUUUCUUGUUCAAAACAACCAAUAGGUCAAUCACGUAAAGGGCACCGAAGGAGGGAGAGGUGAAUGCUGCCACUCUAUGCCAUUGAUAAGUAAUUAUGAGAAGCUUUUUGUUUUUUGUUUUUCGAGACAGAGUUUCUCUGUGUAGCCCUGGCUAUCCUGGAACUCACUUUGUAGACCAGGCUGGCCUCAAACUCAGAAAUCCGCCUGCCUCUGCCUCCGGAGUACUGGGAUUAAAGGCGUGCGCCACCACGCCCGGCUUUUUUUAUUUUUUAAUAUUUAUUUAUUAUUAUACCUAAGUACACUGUAGCUGUCUUCAGAUGCACCAGAAGAGGGUGUCAGAUCUCAUUACGGAUGGUUGUGAGCCACCAUGUGGUUGCUGGGAUUUGAACUCAGGACCUCUGGAAGAGCAGUCAGUGCUCUUAACCACUGAGCCAUCUCUACAGCCCGAGAAGCUUUUUCUAUAACACACAACUGAGGACCACUUCCAAGUCGCAGGUCUCCUUUUCUUAUUUUGUCUGUCUUACCCUGCUCCAGAUCUGGUGGUGUGGUGGUUCACAUCUGUAAUUCAGCACAAGAGGAUUGCUACAAAUUAGAGGCCAUCCUAGCACACAGCAAAAUCCUAUCUCAGAACAAGAAAGUAUUUAUUUCCUGGAUCUAGAAUGUAGUUUACAGCAUUGCCUUAUCUUGCAUGAAGCCCUGGGCUCUAACUCAGGACCCCACUUAAAAACUGAGAAAAACUGGGGGCUGGAGAGACGGCCCAAGAGUUAAAAUUACCUGCUGCUGUUGCAGAUAGCUGGGUUCAGUUCCUAGCACCCACAUGGUAGCUCACAACCAACCAACUGUAUAACUCUAGACCCAGGCGCUCUGGUACCCUCUACUGGUGUCUGCAGUGCACAUGUAUACAUACACACACCCACACAGUUUUCUUUUAACUUUUAAAAAAGGAAGAAAAAAGAGAUCUAUCCCUGUAUUGAUGAACAAGUUCUCAUCCUAAACAAGUCAACCCCUGUCUAAGAACACCCCAGGUGUUCUUAGGAACUCUUGUCAUCACAGGGAACAAACAAGAGGAGGCGCUAAGGAUCAGCUCAAUGGUAGAGCAUUUGCUGAGCAUGCAAACAACCCUGGGUUUGCUCCCCAGCACUAACUCAUAAUAUGUUUAGUACACUAAACACUAAGCCUGUGUUAUCCAGCUAGAUACAAUGAAGUGAGCAGAUGAGACAUGGGAAGGAACUCUGCCCGAGAUGAAAAUUUAAUCAUUGACUUAAACAUUACAGGUGCUGCUCCAUUUAGAACAGUCUUGCAUCUUCUUUACACCUGUUUUAAAUUCAACCCAAACUGAAACUAUUUCAGCCACCUAACCUACUAAACAACCUAGCUCUGCAGUACAGUGUGCUUAGAGUAUUAGUUAUUAUCUCUCAUGAGCACUUAACGUAGCUAACUAGGGCCAUGCAGGCCAAUUUUGCUAUCACAAGGC